rnacentral:rRNA from 1 species
UACGAACUGUGCAAACGUUAUUCGGAAUCACUGGGUUUAAAGGGUGCGUAGGCGGCUUGUUAAGUAGGGUGUGAAAUCCCCCGGCUCAACCGGGGAAUUGCGCCCUAAACUGGCGAGCUGGAGUGAGAUAGGGGUGUGUGGAACUUCCAGUGGAGCGGUGAAAUGUGUUGAUAUUGGAAGGAACGCCAGUGGCGAAAGCGACACACUGGGUCUCAACUGACGCUGAGGCACGAAAGCCAGGGGAGCAAACGGG